rnacentral:piRNA from 1 species
UCUGUGAGAAGGUGCCAAUGGUGCUGUUU